CAGCAGGGAAGAUGCAGGCCCAACCAGCUCUGAGACCCAGAUGAGGAAACUGAGGCCUCACAACUGCUACGCAGUGGCUUCCAGCCUCCACGGCCCCAGGCUCCGUUCAAGAGCUGCUGUGGGAUCCUGUUUCAUCUGCCUUGUCAUGCAUGCAAAUGUUUUUCCCCUUUUCCUCCUUCCCCGACACCUUCCCCCUCUGUAGCCUCCUCAUCCUCCUCAGGAGGGUAAGGGACAGACUAAGCUUCUGCCUUCAGGUGAAAAGAUGCAGGAGCUGACCCUCCUGGGCACCUCGUCCGCGCUGGUGCCAGGCACAGCGCCUGACAUGUCACCUUUUGAAAUCUCCCCGCAGACCUAAGUCCUGCCACCUUCUUCCUGGGCUGGGGACCUGCAGCUUUGCUUUCCCGCAACCUCCCAGGCCGCGGCCCCUCGGGCUCCUCUGCUUGUAAGCCAAGCAGUGGCCUCCUCUGAUGUCCUGGUCCCUGCUCAC
rnacentral:lncRNA from 1 species